rnacentral:rRNA from 1 species
GGGGGUCGGUGCAGGUCUUUAUGGCACCUCCACCCGUGACUAUUGUACCUUGUUGCUUCGGCGGGCCCGCCAGCGUUGCUGGCCGCCGGGGGGCGACUCGCCCCCGGGCCCGUGCCCGCCGGAGACCCCAACAUGAACCCUGUUCUGAAAGCUUGCAGUCUGAGUGUGAUUCUUUGCAAUCAGUUAAAACUUUCAACAAUGGAUCUCUUGGUUCCGGCAUCGAUGAAGAACGCAGCGAAAUGCGAUAACUAAUGUGAAUUGCAGAAUUCAGUGAAUCAUCGAGUCUUUGAACGCACAUUGCGCCCCCUGGUAUUCCGGGGGGCAUGCCUGUCCGAGCGUCAUUGCUGCCCUCAAGCCCGGCUUGUGUGUUGGGCCCUCGUCCCCCGGCUCCCGGGGGACGGGCCCGAAAGGCAGCGGCGGCACCGCGUCCGGUCCUCGAGCGUAUGGGGCUUCGUCUUCCGCUCCGUAGGCCCGGCCGGCGCCCGCCGACGCAUUUAUUUGCAACUUGUUUUUUUCCAGGUUGACCUCGGAUCAGGUAGGGAUACCCGCUGAACUUAAGCAUAUCAAUAAGCGGAGGAA